UACGUAGGGGGCUAGCGUUGUCCGGAUUUACUGGGUUUAAAGGGUGCGUAGGCGGGUAGGUAAGUCAGGGGUGAAAUCUUCGAGCUUAACUCGGAAAUUGCCGUUGAUACUAUUUAUCUUGAAUAUCGUUGAGGUUUGCGGAAUAUGUCAUGUAGCGGUGAAAUGCUUAGAGAUGACAUAGAACACCUAUUGCGAAGGCAGCAGGCUAAACGAACAUUGACGCUGAGGCACGAAAGCGUGGGGAUCAAACAGG
rnacentral:rRNA from 1 species